UCUGACCAUAGUCAUUUAGCCCAAAUGCCUAGAGCAGAAUUCCCUUCUACCUUUUCUCAGAACACAAGUGCCCAUAGGCUCACUACCUCCUGGGGAAGCCUGGUUCUAGUCAAGCGUUUUGUUCAUGGAGCAGAUUUUUAUUUAAGGAAUUCAUAACUACUGGCCUGGGCACGUGAAGUAACUUAGACUCAGAUGGUCCACAUAACACUGCUCAAACAGAACAAGUCCACAGUAUAAGGAAGCUAAGUCAGGCUUCAGACAAUAGCACCUCUUUUGUUAGGUUAGUGCAAAAGUAAUUGUGGGUUUUGCCAUUAAAAGUAACGUCAAGAAACCACAAUUAUUUUUGCAUCAACCGAAUACUUCUCUCAUUUCGUACAUCUUAAAAUCAUAUAACCAGGCAGUAUCUUAGGGUCAUUGGGAUCUCGGCUCUGGGGCUUACUUAUCCCAGAUCUAACCAUCCUCAGCAUGGUGCUCAGAGAGAAAUAUUGUGAGUUUCUGUAGUCAUUUCCAUAUCACACAUCUCAACAGAGAAAUACGAAAAUCCACAUGGAAAAUCUAGCAGACCUACAAGCGAGAGCCAGGUGGGAGACUCUUCACCUGCCCCAAAAACUAGUUUAUGUGCAUGUGACAAAGCGGGCGUUUUUAUUGUUCAGACACUAAAACAAACAGAAAAUUAUGAAGUGCACAAAAGGAUUUUCCACGCUGCUGAACCUUGCAAAGUGUUCACAGUCGAGUUCCCCUUUUUGAAUUCAUUAUCUCAAGGCAGCAUUUGGUUUGGAAAGCCGGGGCAGCUGAGCUGAAAAUGUGUAUUGUUAUUACUUGAAGUUUCUGAGAAUAACCUGCACAGGCUGCAGUGUUCAGAACCAGCUUUGUUCUUUGCAAAUUCUUUGUCAGUGAACUCUCUCUUAUUCGAGUCAUUGGCAAACAUGAGAGCCUAUGUAAAAUAU
rnacentral:lncRNA from 10 species